rnacentral:rRNA from 1 species
UACGGAGGAUCCAAGCGUUAUCCGGAUUUAUUGGGUUUAAAGGGAGCGUAGGCGGCCUGUUAAGUCAGGGGUGAAAGACGGUGGCUCAACCAUCGCAGUGCCUUUGAUACUGACAGGCUUGAAUGUAGUUGAGGUGGGCGGAAUGUGACAAGUAGCGGUGAAAUGCAUAGAUAUGUCACAGAACACCGAUUGCGAAGGCAGCUUACUACGGAUAUAUUGACACUGAGGCACGAAAGCGUGGGGAGCAAACAGG